AACGAACGCUGGCGGCAUGCCUAACACAUGCAAGUCGAACGAGACCUUCGGGAGUGGUGGCGCAUGGGUGCGUAACGUGUGGGAAGCUGCCCUUAGGUACGGAAUAACUCUCCGAAAGGGGUGCUAAUACCGGAUAAUGUCUGCGAACAAAAGAUGUAUCGCCUUUGUAUGGGCGGGCGUUGGAUUAGCUAGUUGGUAGGGUAAGAGCCUAUCAAGGCGUCGAUCCAUAGCUGGGCUGAGAGGCAGGUCCGCCACACUGGGACUGGGACACGGCCCGGACUCCUACGGGAUGCGGCAGAGCGGAAUAUUGCAACAUGGGGUGAGUGCUGAUGCAGUAAGGCCGCGUGAGUGAUGAUGGCAUUAGGGAUGUAAAGCGCUUUUAACCGGGAUGAUAAUGACAGUACCGAAAGAAUAAGCUCCGGCUAACUCCGUG
rnacentral:rRNA from 1 species